CAGUCGCCACGGGAAUACAGAGGGUGCAAGCGUUAAUCGGAAUUACUGGGCGUAAAGCGCGCGUAGGUGGUUUGUUAAGUUGGAUGUGAAAUCCCCGGGCUCAACCUGGGAACUGCAUCCAAAACUGGCAAGCUAGAGUAUGGUAGAGGGUGGUGGAAUUUCCUGUGUAGCGGUGAAAUGCGUAGAUAUCGGAAGGAACACCAGUGGCGAAGGCGACCACCUGGACUGAUACUGACACUGAGGUGCGAAAGCGUGGGGAGCAAACAGGAUUAGAUACCCCUGUAGUCCCUGUCUCUUAUAC
rnacentral:rRNA from 1 species